CAAGAGUGACCGGCCAGUGUGUGUAGGCGGGAAGAGGCGUCCGCUUCUGCGAUACGCGGGAGCCGGGGCUGUGGAGGCUUCUGGUUCUAGACUGGUGCCUCAGAGCAGGCUCCCUCUGUCUCCAUAGCAGACCGCUGUCCUCGUGAUGCCCGCACCUCCUUCCUGUUCCAGGCAGCAAAUUGGCCAGUGGGCCUGUGACCCCCAAACUUCUCAUCUAUGCGGGAGUCGUGACAUCUGAGCAUAUAUGACCCUGAAAGAUCAGCUGGGAGACAUCUUGGCAACCCACUCCAGUACUCUUGCCUGGAAAAUCCCGUGGACGGAUGGACCUGGUAGGCUACAGUCUGUGGGGUCACAGAGAGUCGGACAUGACUGAGCAACUUCACUUUCACUCUGUGCAUGUAAGCUCCGAACUGAACGGCACCUUUCAAAGUACUGUUCUGUAAGAUUAAAAACGUUUAUUUUUUGUGUUUAUU
rnacentral:lncRNA from 1 species